rnacentral:rRNA from 1 species
GGAAUUUUGGACAAUGGGCGCAAGCCUGAUCCAGCCAUGCCGCGUGAGUGAAGAAGGCCUUCGGGUUGUAAAGCUCUUUCAGACGGAAAGAAAUCGGGCGGGUGAAUAGCCUGCCUGGAUGACGGUACUGUCAGAAGAAGCACCGGCUAACUACGUGCCCGCAGCCGCGGUAAUACGUAGGGUGCGAGCGUUCAUCGGCAUUACUGGGCGUAAAGCGGGCGCAGGCGGGUGUGUAAGACAGGUGUGAAAUCCCCGGGCUUAACCUGGGAACUGCGCUUGUGACUGCACGGCUAGAGUACGGCAGAGGGGGGUGGAAUUCCACGUGUAGCAGUGAAAUGCGUAGAUAUGUGGAGGAACACCGAUGGCGAAGGCAGCCCCCUGGGCCGAUACUGACGCUCAUGCACGAAAGCGUGGGGAGCAAAC